AUGUUAAUACCUUAGAGAGUAUGU
rnacentral:siRNA from 1 species